rnacentral:rRNA from 1 species
UACGAAGGGGGCUAGCGUUGCUCGGAAUUACUGGGCGUAAAGCGCACGUAGGCGGCUUCUUAAGUCGGUGGUGAAAUCCUGGAGCUCAACUCCAGAACUGCCUUCGAUACUGGGAAGCUCGAGUCCGGGAGAGGUGAGUGGAACUGCGAGUGUAGAGGUGAAAUUCGUAGAUAUUCGCAAGAACACCAGUGGCGAAGGCGGCUCACUGGCCCGGUACUGACGCUGGGGUGCGAAAGCGUGGGGAGCAAACAGG